UGAUAUGAUGCCUAAAAUGAUAUCGGAUGAUUCCAUUGUGUUUUAUCAGUGUUGUCUAAAAUUUGAGCAAUUCUAUUUAAUACUUAAGACCUGAGUGGCUGAGUGCUGUUUAUCUAAGCGAUGGCGACAGUUGAAUCAGACCAUAAUACAAAAUCACGUUGAUGUAAGCUUAUAUUCAAUUUUUUCAUUUCAGAGAUGACUUCUAUGGUUAAUUCACUGAGUAGUACAGCACCACAGAGUUCUAACCGGGGUAUAGUGGUCGCAUGAAGUGGCGCUACUAUUGAUUUUGAAACAUAUAAUUUCGAACUUUCCAUUUGAACUGUGUUCGUGUGUAAUCACACGCUCCGUGAUCCAGGAUUUUGUCAAAUACCUAUGUAUGGGAGGUAUGUGUUAAUUUACAUAUAAAGAUGUGCAUUAGUUUAAAAGAAAUAGACUUACCAUCAGCAGAGCAGGAAAAUUAGUUUAUGUUAAACACAAUUUAAAGGAAGAAUAAGAAAAACAAGUAAAUCCACCACUUGCCCAGCAAGAUUAUUAAGAAAAACUUUUAGAAGAAUUUGAAGAAGACAGUAAUAAUGAGCUACAACUAGAAGAAAUUGAAUGUGAAGACAAUACUAAAGAGAGUGACUGUAGUGUUAUAAGUGUUAACUUGGAAAAUGAAGAAGAACAGAACUCAGACAUUGAUAUAAAUAGUACUGAAAUAGAUGAACUAGUGAAUAUGAUAAAUUCAUAAAAUAAUAUUAUGAUAACAAUUAUAUUAUGUUUAUGGUUUUUAUUUAUAAAAA